rnacentral:rRNA from 1 species
GAUGAACGCUGGCGGCGUGCCUAAUACAUGCAAGUCGAGCGAACAGACGAGGAGCUUGCUCCUCUGACGUUAGCGGCGGACGGGUGAGUAACACGUGGAUAACCUACCUAUAAGACUGGGAUAACUUCGGGAAACCGGAGCUAAUACCGGAUAAUAUCUUGAACCGCAUGGUUCAAUAGUGAAAGACGGUUUUGCUGUCACUUAUAGAUGGAUCCGCGCCGCAUUAGCUAGUUGGUAAGGUAACGGCUUACCAAGGCAACGAUGCGUAGCCGACCUGAGAGGGUGAUCGGCCACACGGGAACGGAGACACGGUCCAGACUCCUACGGGAGGCAGCAGUAGGGAAUCUUCCGCAAUGGGCGAAAGCCUGACGGAGCAACGCCGCGUGAGUGAUGAAGGUCUUCGGAUCGUAAAACUCUGUUAUUAGGGAAGAACAAAUGUGUAAGUAACUAUGCACGUCUUGACGGUACCUAAUCAGAAAGCCACGGCUAACUACGUG